rnacentral:rRNA from 1 species
AGUGAACGCUGGCGGUAGGCCUAACACAUGCAAGUCGAACGGCAGCACAGUAAGAGCUUGCUCUUACGGGUGGCGAGUGGCGGACGGGUGAGGAAUACAUCGGAAUCUACUUUUUCGUGGGGGAUAACGUAGGGAAACUUACGCUAAUACCGCAUACGACCUACGGGUGAAAGCAUGGGAUCUUCGGACCUUGCGCGAUUGAAUGAGCCGAUGUGGGAUUAGCUAGUUGGCGGGGUAAAGGCCCACCAAGGCGACGAUCCGUAGCUGGUCUGAGAGGAUGAUAGGCCACACUGGAACUGAGACACGGUCCAGACUCCUACGGGAGGCAGCAGUGGGGAAUAUUGGACAAUGGGCGCAAGCCUGAUCCAGCCAUACCGCGUGGGUGAAGAAGGCCUUCGGGUUGUGAAGCCCUUUUGUUGGGAAAGAAAAGCAGCAGGUUAAUACCCCGCUGUUCUGACGGUACCCAAAGAAUAAGCACCGGCUAACUUCGUG